rnacentral:rRNA from 1 species
AGCGUACACGGUGGAUGCCCUGGCAGUCAGAGGCGAUGAAGGACGUGCUAAUCUGCGAUAAGCGUCGGUAAGGUGAUAUGAACCGUUAUAACCGGCGAUUUCCGAAUGGGGAAACCCAGUGUGUUUCGACACACUAUCAUUAACUGAAUCCAUAGGUUAAUGAGGCGAACCGGGGGAACUGAAACAUCUAAGUACCCCGAGGAAAAGAAAUCAACCGAGAUUCCCCCAGUAGCGGCGAGCGAACGGGGAGCAGCCCAGAGCCUGAAUCAGUGUGUGUGUUAGUGGAAGCGUCUGGAAAGGCGCGCGAUACAGGGUGACAGCCCCGUACACAAAAAUGCACAUGCUGUGAGCUCGAUGAGUAGGGCGGGACACGUGGUAUCCUGUCUGAAUAUGGGGGGACCAUCCUCCAAGGCUAAAUACUCCUGACUGACCGAUAGUGAACCAGUACCGUGAGGGAAAGGCGAAAAGAACCCCGGCGAGGGGAGUGAAAAAGAACCUGAAACCGUGUACGUACAAGCAGUGGGAGCACGCUUCGGCGUGUGACUGCGUACCUUUUGUAUAAUGGGUCAGCGACUUAUAUUCUGUAGCAAGGUUAACCGAAUAGGGGAGCCGAAGGGAAACCGAGUCUUAACUGGGCGUUAAGUUGCAGGGUAUAGACCCGAAACCCGGUGAUCUAGCCAUGGGCAGGUUGAAGGUUGGGUAACACUAACUGGAGGACCGAACCGACUAAUGUUGAAAAAUUAGCGGAUGACUUGUGGCUGGGGGUGAAAGGCCAAUCAAACCGGGAGAUAGCUGGUUCUCCCCGAAAGCUAUUUAGGUAGCGCCUCGUGAAUUCAUCUCCGGGGGUAGAGCACUGUUUCGGCAAGGGGGUCAUCCCGACUUACCAACCCGAUGCAAACUGCGAAUACCGGAGAAUGUUAUCACGGGAGACACACGGCGGGUGCUAACGUCCGUCGUGAAGAGGGAAACAACCCAGACCGCCAGCUAAGGUCCCAAAGUCAUGGUUAAGUGGGAAACGAUGUGGGAAGGCCCAGACAGCCAGGAUGUUGGCUUAGAAGCAGCCAUCAUUUAAAGAAAGCGUAAUAGCUCACUGGUCGAGUCGGCCUGCGCGGAAGAUGUAACGGGGCUAAACCAUGCACCGAAGCUGCGGCAGCGACGCUGAUGCGUUGUUGGGUAGGGGAGCGUUCUGUAAGCCUGCGAAGGUGUGCUGUGAGGCAUGCUGGAGGUAUCAGAAGUGCGAAUGCUGACAUAAGUAACGAUAAAGCGGGUGAAAAGCCCGCUCGCCGGAAGACCAAGGGUUCCUGUCCAACGUUAAUCGGGGCAGGGUGAGUCGACCCCUAAGGCGAGGCCGAAAGGCGUAGUCGAUGGGAAACAGGUUAAUAUUCCUGUACUUGGUGUUACUGCGAAGGGGGGACGGAGAAGGCUAUGUUGGCCGGGCGACGGUUGUCCCGGUUUAAGCGUGUAGGCUGGUUUUCCAGGCAAAUCCGGAAAAUCAAGGCUGAGGCGUGAUGACGAGGCACUACGGUGCUGAAGCAACAAAUGCCCUGCUUCCAGGAAAAGCCUCUAAGCAUCAGGUAACAUCAAAUCGUACCCCAAACCGACACAGGUGGUCAGGUAGAGAAUACCAAGGCGCUUGAGAGAACUCGGGUGAAGGAACUAGGCAAAAUGGUGCCGUAACUUCGGGAGAAGGCACGCUGAUAUGUAGGUGAAGUCCCUCGCGGAUGGAGCUGAAAUCAGUCGAAGAUACCAGCUGGCUGCAACUGUUUAUUAAAAACACAGCACUGUGCAAACACGAAAGUGGACGUAUACGGUGUGACGCCUGCCCGGUGCCGGAAGGUUAAUUGAUGGGGUUAGCGCAAGCGAAGCUCUUGAUCGAAGCCCCGGUAAACGGCGGCCGUAACUAUAACGGUCCUAAGGUAGCGAAAUUCCUUGUCGGGUAAGUUCCGACCUGCACGAAUGGCGUAAUGAUGGCCAGGCUGUCUCCACCCGAGACUCAGUGAAAUUGAACUCGCUGUGAAGAUGCAGUGUACCCGCGGCAAGACGGAAAGACCCCGUGAACCUUUACUAUAGCUUGACACUGAACAUUGAGCCUUGAUGUGUAGGAUAGGUGGGAGGCUUUGAAGUGUGGACGCCAGUCUGCAUGGAGCCGACCUUGAAAUACCACCCUUUAAUGUUUGAUGUUCUAACGUUGACCCGUGAUCCGGGUUGCGGACAGUGUCUGGUGGGUAGUUUGACUGGGGCGGUCUCCUCCUAAAGAGUAACGGAGGAGCACGAAGGUUGGCUAAUCCUGGUCGGACAUCAGGAGGUUAGUGCAAUGGCAUAAGCCAGCUUGACUGCGAGCGUGACGGCGCGAGCAGGUGCGAAAGCAGGUCAUAGUGAUCCGGUGGUUCUGAAUGGAAGGGCCAUCGCUCAACGGAUAAAAGGUACUCCGGGGAUAACAGGCUGAUACCGCCCAAGAGUUCAUAUCGACGGCGGUGUUUGGCACCUCGAUGUCGGCUCAUCACAUCCUGGGGCUGAAGUAGGUCCCAAGGGUAUGGCUGUUCGCCAUUUAAAGUGGUACGCGAGCUGGGUUUAGAACGUCGUGAGACAGUUCGGUCCCUAUCUGCCGUGGGCGCUGGAGAACUGAGGGGGGCUGCUCCUAGUACGAGAGGACCGGAGUGGACGCAUCACUGGUGUUCGGGUUGUCAUGCCAAUGGCACUGCCCGGUAGCUAAAUGCGGAAGAGAUAAGUGCUGAAAGCAUCUAAGCACGAAACUUGCCCCGAGAUGAGUUCUCCCUGACUCCUUGA